CAAGAGCGUAUGUAAAAGUUGUUGCAGUUAAAAAGCUCGUAGUUGAACCUUGGGUUUGGUUGGCCGGUCCGCUUUUUUGCGAGUACUGGAUUCAACCGAGCCUUUCCUUCUGGCUAACCAGUCGUUUCGGCGGCUGGCGAACCAGGAUUUUUACUUUGAGAAAAUUAGAGUGUUCAAAGCAGGCAUUAGCUUGAAUAUAUUAGCAUGGAAUAAUAGAAUAGGACGUUAUGGUUCUAUUUUGUUGGUUUCUAGGACCAUCGUAAUGAUUAAUAGGGACGGUCGGGGGCAUCAGUAUUCAGUUGUCAGAGGUGAAUUCUUGGAUUUACUGAAGACUAACUACUGCGAAAGCAUUUGCCAAGGACGUUUUCAUUAA
rnacentral:rRNA from 1 species